ensembl:lncRNA
CAAAGAAACUAUUUGCCAACACAGAAAAGUAUGAGAAGUCUUUAAGUAAAUAGCAGUACCUGAGUGCUUGGAAAGCAAUUUCAAGAUGAAAAGUACUUUCGAGUUGGCAAAUCUUGAACGUUAAUGUAGCUACUCGUCAAAACACCUUCAGUGCAAGACUGCAUUUGGAAGCAUUUCAAGGAAAGCUACUGUGAAGGUCCAUGGAAAGUACACAGACAGCCCAAAGAGAAUUCCAAUGCUACAAUAAAAUCUUUACUCCAAAUGGAAAGUGUAUUUUUUUUUUUUUAGUGGUGGAAGGAAGAAGGAG